AUGAGGACAAGUGGCUCCGAUAGCCACUUGUCACCCACACAAUAGCGGCGCAGAUCACUAGGCAAAGGGGAAAAGAAAAUUUUAAAAAAAAGCUGUUGGCAGGAUGUUUCACGUGGAAGAUAGUGAGCCAAACAAACAUCAUCACCAUAAUUAUUAUUACUAUUAAUGAUAGCAUUCAUUUUCUUUCUCAUUUCAUGAUCCAAGAAAUAAAAACAAAUAAAAUUUCAUUAAAGCAAGAGGAGAAAGAAACAGAAAUAGGAAGCACUCAAGCAAUUUGCGGUGGAGAAGAUGAAGACUCACGGCGGAAUAGAUGAAGACUCACGGCGGCUCACAUAAGAUCACAGCGGCCGGAGCUUCUCCGGCGCGAUGGCCGGAGGAUUGUUAAUGAAAAGCUUGUAGAUCUACAACAGAAAUUUGAAAGCUAUAAAUUCAAAAUGUAGCACUAUCAGUGCAAGAGUCACGAAAAUAAAGAGGAAUUCGGGUUCAGAAGAUGGAGAACAACCUUUUAGUGUCAAGAACUUAAAGAACGACAGAGGUUAUGGAUUCCGGUGCGGUGGUUUUGUGUUUCCGGCGGUGGUUUUGUGUUUCCGACGGUGGUUUCCGGUCAGGUGA